rnacentral:ncRNA from 1 species
UAUCUAAGCUGAAUCCGGGAUGAAAAGGGAAUGCGGUGAGGUGUAACCUUAUUGGUGCCAAUUCCGUGACUACCCCCGCAACUGCCCCGCAACUGUAUGUGGUUAGCCGCUCUGAGAGUGCUACUGGAUUUAUAUAAUAUGGGAAGGGUCAGAGAAGCUUUGAUCCACGAGUCAGGAGACCUGCCAUCGUGUUAU